UUCCGGUUGAUCCCGCCGGACCCGACUGCUAUCAGAGUGGGACUAAGCCAUGCGAGUCGACGUAGCAAUGCGUGGCGAACGGCUCAGUAACACGUAGUCAACAUGCCCAGGGGACGUGGAUAACCUCGGGAAACUGAGAAUAAGCCACGAUAGGUCACGAUUUCUGGAAUGGAUCAUGGCAUAAAUCUACAUGGCCCCUGGAUUGGACUGCGGCCGAUCAGGCAGUUGGUGAGGUAAUGGCCCACCAAACCUAUAACCGGUACGGGCUCUGAGAGGAGAAGCCCGGAGAUGGGCACUGAGACAAGGGCCCAGGCCCUAUGGGGCGCAGCAGGCGCGAAACCUCUGCAAUAGGCGAAAGCCUGACAGGGUUACUCUGAGUGAUUUCCGCUAAGGGGAUCUUUUGGCACCUCUAAAAAUGGUGCAGAAUAAGGGGUGGGCAAGUCUGGUGUCAGCCGCCGCGGUAAUACCAGCACCCCGAGUGGUCGGGACGAUUAUUGGGCCUAAAGCAUCCGUAGCCGGUUCUGCAAGUCUUCCGUUAAAUCCAGCCGCUCAACGGAUGGGCCGCGGAGGAUACUAUAGGACUAGGAGGCGGGAGAGGCAAGCGGUACUCAGUGGGUAGGGGUAAAAUCCUUUGAUCCAUUGAAGACCACCAGUGGCGAAGGCGGCUUGCCAGAACGCGCUCGACGGUGAGGGAUGAAAGCUGGGGGAGCAAACCGGAUUAGAUACCCGGGUAGUCCCAG
rnacentral:rRNA from 1 species